rnacentral:misc_RNA from 1 species
CCCCCUCUUCUUGAAUCUUCUUCGACAUCGAAAACCGAAAAAGAAAUCACCAAAUCAAAAAGUAACACAUUACACACUGCACAAUUGACUGUGAGAGCUCUCAUAGAAAUUUCCUUUUCGUCAUUUCUUCUUCAACACAUCAGUAGAAAAGGAUCCCUUCUAGGGUUUAAAAAAAAAACACCAGAGAGAGCCCGAUCAUGGAACAGUCCAUCAAGCCACACACGCACUCCUCAUACAUAGUUAUAAAAUUCACAGAAGGUAGAAAAACCCAAAAAAAAAAAAAUAAAAUAAAAUAAAAAGAAAAUUCUCAAAAUGGGUCUUCUUGUCCUCCAAACUCCCUCUCCAUGGCUUGGGCCUAUUCUUGAUUUCUUGGUGGACAAAAACCAUCAUCAAGAUUCAAACCAUAGUACCAUACACAAACUGUUGGUUUUGUAAUUUUCUUUUUUUUGUUUCUCAGGGGAAAUUAAUUAUUGUUAUUAUAUUUAUAUAUAUAAUGUAAAAUUAAGCUGCAGCUACAGUGCCUGCACGUGAAGGGCAGCCUUGGUUUUUGGUAGGGGACAUAGAAGAUUUCUUCUGGUCUUUCUUCCUUAAUGCUUUCAUGGAAGAAGAAAGGUUCCAGUUCUUGUCUUCAGCUUCAUCUAUCUCUAUUUGUUCUUGCCUGCACUCUUCACUGCAGAAUGGAGUGUCCCCUCUAUACAUGAAGAUGUCUCUGUUGUUACCCAGUGGUUUCUUGCAAAGAUAACAAGCUUCCAAGAAAUGGGGUUGAUGAUCCUCAAAUCUCGCAUCAUAAAACCUAGCGGAUCUUGGAGAAGAAAUAGACGAUGACAAGUUCCUGAGACUACCCCUCCUCCCAUAACAAAGCGACCGAGAAAAG